rnacentral:lncRNA from 10 species
CCAUAGGUGGAAGGGACUAGCCUUGAAUCAGAUGAGGUUUUGGACUAUAGACCUUUGAGGGAACUGACGUCAUGCCAGUAUUUUCUACACUCACCCAGCAUCAGAAGAGCAUAUAUGUUGAAAGAAAAGGUCAACGUAUUCUGUCAUCCCUGGUUCCAGGUUCCUUACAGCAAAAGCAAUAAAGGAUGCAGGAGUGGUGUUUCCCUCUUCAAUCUCCUACCUUGCCAACCACCCAGCACCUUAGAUACUACAGCGUGGGGCUAGAGACUCAAUCUGGGGAAUUUGCUUUCACCCUGGAGGCAUCAUGACUGAGAAACCAUGAAUGCAAUCAACAAAACAAGAAGAAAUUCAAGUUAUUUCAAACAUAUGAGGAAAUUAUAAAAAGCAACAACAAAAGCAGCAUUAAUAACAAUAUAUGUUGUACACUGUCUUAUUCAAUACUUUAAAAAAAAAUAAAAGCCUCUUAAAAGCCCAUUAGUUGAUGAAGUUAUUUUACUGCAAAAGAGGUAAGUUCAGAGGAUGUAUAAAUAUGUUUACAUUAUUUCUUAAAACCUUGAAUUCAAGCAACACAGAUCAGUUCUCUCCAAACCAUAAGGUCAUAUGCCAAUGAUUCUAAGAGGCACAUUUCUUUCAGAUUUUAACAUCUUUGAAAUUGUG